UAGAUUUGGAGAUGUUUUUUGCUUCUUUUCCAUGAGACCUUUUGCGAUUUAAUUUGAGGAUCGAAAUUUUAUCAUUUGGGUUAAUUUUAUUCGAAAUGUCCUUUUGCAGAAAAGCCAUUUGAUUCGCUUUCAACAAGUUUUGAAUGAUAAUCUACAAGAAUUCUGGACUACAAGAGGGAUAUAUCUGCCAAUGUGAUGCUUUCAUGGAUUUGGACCAAGUUGAUGUAGCCGAUAGGUCAUACUCCAUGGCUUCAGAUUUAGAUUCGUCCAUUUGUCGUUCAAAAUCUUUCAAGGGGGGAUAUUGUAUUAGCAACCUAUUAAGGAUAUGACAUCAAAAAUGACUUUUCCGUCAAGGUGCUAUUAUAUGAUUUAAUUUUCAGAGAGCUCGCUAAUCAAAUAGUUGCACAGUUUGAAGCUUUAGGAGUGCAAUGUGCAGUAGUUUUAAAUUCGCUAAUAAAUGAGGAAGAGUUGGUGGCGUAAUAUAAUAUUCAUAUGGCAGUGUUAAGUGGCUAGCAAAGGAGCAUCUGCUGUACUGACGGUAGUCUACUGGCUAUGCUGAAUGAAAGUCACUCCCAGUUGAAACUCCACGCUCUCUCCAAUCUCAAUGCCUUUGUUGAUUACUUCUGGCCUGAGAUUUCUACAUCAGUCACUGUCAUCUAGAAGUUUUGGGGGGAGAGCUCUUCGUGCAGUUACGACAUAUGAACAGGAAGGGUUAUGAACAAGAAAGGUUAUGGCACCAGACUGGUGAAUCACUUAAAGCAGCUGGCACGCGAUAUGGAUGGGCUUAACUCAUUCUCAAACAUAAGUCGAUGCUAUUGUUCCCAUUUUUUUUAAUUUUUUUUUGUAUUUGUUUCCAUCUGUACUCAUAUGUGAUCAUAUUUAUGAACUACUUAUAAUUUCAUAACUAAACCAUACUUUAUUUGUCAAUUUCUCUCUAAUUUAUGGGAGUUCUAAGUUGAAAGACAUUUGAAAACUUUAUUUUUGCUCGUGCCGAGAAGACUGCACCAGGGCAAUUCUUAUUUACAAGUUUAUGAAGGCAGUGUUUAGAUAGUUUUUUUUUUUUUUUUACAAGUUUAUGAAGGCAGUGUUUAGAUAGUUUUUUUUUUUUUUCCAAAGCAACUUUGAUGGGAAUAAGAGGUAAACACUGGAGCAGAUUUCGAAAGGAAGUGCUAGCUGUAAUAUAUGGUGCCACUAUCUGCAACCUUUGGAUUGCUAGAAAUCACAAAAUUUUCUGAGGACAAAGUGUACAGUGCAGUUACUUAUUACAGCAGAUGCAAAAUUUAAUUAGGGAAAGGCUUAACAUGUAUAGGAAUACCAAGAAGGGUAGGAAGUUUGUUCAUUUGAUUGACUCAUUAUGUACUUAGUUUCUUCAGAGGCUCACCAAUUCUCAGCACCCUACAUAGUAGGUGGUUGAGAUUAUGAGUGCUCUCUUAGGUGUAAUGGUUGGU